rnacentral:pre_miRNA from 1 species
UGAAUACUCCCUCCGUCCGGAAAUACUUGUCAUCAAAAUGAAUAAAAGAGGAUGUAUCUAGACGUAUUUUAGUUCUAGAUACAUCCCUUUCUAUCCAUUUUGAUGACAAGUAUUUUCGGACGGAGGGAGUAACAG